UUCUCUGCACGAAUACCGAGAGAAAACGAACGGGUGUUCUUCGUGUUCUUCAUAAUCAAACGAGGAUUUGAAGGCGUUAUUGGAAUCGGAUAGAGGCGUAUAAAUAGUCAAAACGAAGCUCUUGACGAGUAGAAUCUAGUAUAAUCAUCCGUUUAUAUGCAGAUUGAACAGGAUUUGGACGAGGCGUAUACGAUUGAAGACGUACAGAAGGUCAAACGAUGUUGCAAAGCGAAUAAGGAACGAGUCGAGAAAGCGAAGUCGUAUUGCGAAUAGAGUAUAUACAGAGAUGGUCUGGAGGUUAUGAUAUGCAUAGAUUGUGAAUUGGAAAGAUGAGAUUAAGCUAUGGGUGUGGAGGCGGAUUUAAGAAAAGCUUAACGAUGAAUUGCAUGAUUGAGGUUGCGAGUAUGGCUAAGGCUAGGCGAGGAGUCAGAGUAUAGAGUAUACAGAGGACAAGUGGAAAUGUUCAGGGAGAUUGUCAAGGUUUUCAAAAGUGUUUUAAAAUGGCUUUAUGUGGUGACGUCAGAAUCCAGACCCCCGGAUUCUCGGGCUGUCACACUGAUUAAGUGGAAAGGACUGCCCUCAUUUGAUGCUACUUGGGAACAAGCUGCUUUGUUGGACCAACGUUUCCCAGCUUUCAACCUUGAGGACAAGGUUCAGGAUCUGGCGGGGAGUAAUGUAACAGAUCAGGCCCAGCCUACAGAUCAGGCCCAGCCCACUAAGCUACUAGUAUUCAACAGAAGGAAGCCCAAGGGUAGAAAGGGAACUGAACAGCAAGAGGAAGCGAGGGGAUAAGAGGAAUUAGGGUUGAGAGGAGGGGCUUAUGGAGAAUAUCAUUUUAGUUUAAUCAAUUUAGUAAGGAGACUCUGGCUUCUCGAAUUGUCCAGUUUAUCUGUUCUAGUUUCUUUUCAUUGUAAGCAACUUGGUUCUGGAUCUUAUUAUUAAGUGCUGGUGCUUGUUUUCCUUUGAA